AUGCUCCCCCGUCACAUAACAGCAUUUGCUUGCAUGUUUUUCUUUACAAAGCUUCAUCGUGACCUAAGAAGACUGGAGGCCUCAUUGACAGAGCUUUCCCAGAGCCAAGGGAGCUCCAUGUCUGAUCUGCAUAGACAAGUUAAACUACUAGAAGACAAGAUGUCAGGUGGGCUGAAGGAAGCCAAGGAGCAGACAGAUUCACUGAGAUGUUGGACAGACCACCAGCUCUACAGCUCUCACCAGACACUUGCCCAGAGCAACCGGCAGCUCCGCUCACAACUACAAGACAAAAUGUUAGAGGCAGAGUCUAGAUUAGCUGCCCAGCUCCGUGCUCUGGAGGCCCGUGCGGAGCGGGACCGGGCCGACCGGAGUCAGGCGGAUCAGCUGAAACGCUCGGAAACCAAACUCAGCAAGAGAAUGAGCUCGCUGGAGAGCAGCCUUCAUCGGGAGCUGCAGCUGCUCAAACAGGAAUACGACAAAGGGUUCCGGUCUGUGCAUGACGCCAUUGAGUCCCUCAGGCAGAUAGGUGACAUCAAAUCUCGUCUCGACAAGGAGAAGCUGCAGCAGGACACCCGGCACCUCGGCAGCAAGGUGGCAGUGACUUGUGACUGAAGAGGAGCUCCUUUUACUGUCAGGCAGUGCCCAUGCUGAGGCAACAGAGCCACUCGCUUCAAAACCCAAAGGCUCGCCCAUGGAUGACAUUGUUGUUUCCCUCACUACAUUCAUUCCCACCUUAUUUCAUUGCUACGCUGAUGACAUACAGCUCUACAUAACCCUACAGCGACCCUAUGGUAUCGGAAUCCUCACUGUCAUCGUCAUCAUCAUCAUCAUCACUGAGCUCCUGCCUUGAGGCGUGGAUGACAGAAAACUUCCUCCAGCUUAAUAGUUCCAAAACUGAAGCUAUUUUAGUUGGCAAGACCUCCUUCUAUCACCUCAGGAACAUUGCCUAAUGAGGAUACCCGUCCUUCACUCACUCCACUGGCUCGCUGUCUCAUUCAGGAUUGAAUACAAAAUCUUACUCGCCCAUCAGUGCAUCCAUGGCAAUGCCCCUCCCUACCUCAAAGAUCUACUCUCACCACAAACCUCCUCACCCAACCUCCGCUCUGGAAACAAAAGCUUCACCCUUCACCCAUCCAGGACCAGGCACCGUACCAUAGGGGAUCGAGCCUUCUGCUCAGCACCUCCUCGUCAGCGGAAUUCCCUCCCAGACCACCUGAGUGCUCCACAAAGCACACUCAUUUUUUUUCUUUUUUUUUUAUCUUGUUUUUACUCUGUAGCACUUUGCUAUUUGCUUUUAGAAAUGAAAAGUGCUUUAUAAAUAAAAUGUAUUAUUAGUAGUAGUAGUAGUAUUCUGUGAGCCCACGGCCAUUUAGACAGACGAUCUUGCGAGUUUAAGUUGAAUCCCUUUUGUGAAAAAUGCAUAAUCACCAGUGUCAAUAAAGUGCAGCUUUGUGCAAUCAAAGAAACAUGAUUGUUUACCUUUGUCAGCUGGUGCACGUGGUGGGACAUUUGGUGGGACACAUGGUGGGCAGCCGGAGAGCAUGAUGUUUCCGUCAGCAGGUGUCAGGGGCCAAAAGAAAUGAGAGUGAAUAUUGAACAUAAGUGUGCCAGGUAGCCAGACACACGACUCCAGGUGAAUAACAAGGGCCUCGUGCAAGACCAUGUUUAUAUUCUUCUCCGAAAUUCCUCUUGAGUUCGUACGAACAGGCCACGUGGGAUUCACCAAACUCUGCCAUCUUCCGAAAAAUGUGUAAAUCACGCGCGUAAACAAGAUGAACGUCACCUGAUCGUAUAUGAGCGAGCGUGCCC
ensembl:lncRNA